UGCGUAGGGUGCAAGCGUUGUCCGGAAUUAUUGGGCGUAAAGAGCUCGUAGGCGGUUUGUCGCGUCUGCUGUGAAAACUCGGGGCUUAACUCCGGGCCUGCAGUGGGUACGGGCAGACUAGAGUGCGGUAGGGGAGACUGGAAUUCCUGGUGUAGCGGUGAAAUGCGCAGAUAUCAGGAGGAACACCGGUGGCGAAGGCGGGUCUCUGGGCCGUAACUGACGCUGAGGAGCGAAAGCGUGGGGAGCGAACAGG
rnacentral:rRNA from 1 species